GCAAAUACAACUUACUCAGACAAAAAAGGCUGUCAGCAGCAAGUCUAGGCAGAAGCCAGGAGGAGUUAGGAACAGACUAUAAGAAAUGGUUGGUCUGGAGGAAAAAGGGUAAAACUUAUGAGGGCCCUUGUGAAUUGAUGAAUAUGAAGACACUAAGAAAGCAGAAAUAGAACUGAGAAGAAUGAAAUAACUGUCUCUACCUUUCUCGAAUUGUCUAAUAUGGAAAGAAUGAAAGACAGCUAAUAAGCAACUCUCUGCAAGAAGACAUAUGGCUUAGGUUCUGCUGAGCUAUUGAAUCUACUUGGAGAGAGUCAAACACAGAAUCCCUUUGAAUUUAAUGGCCAUUCCAGGUGAUUUGAACAGCCAAAUAAGAAACAGGUCCUCUUCAAUGUACAAUCUGCCAAGUAUGAAGUCUGAAUGACCAUCAUUAUUAUGUAUUUAAUGUGCAUAGAAAAUCUAUCUGCAACCUUCCAGAGUGUACCAGAAGUUUGGAAUGUACAUUAUUAUUGGCUCCAUCUCAAACCACUCAUAAAUCAAAGAAAAUAGCAGUUCCAGAGGAAUCAUCAUAGAGGCUUCUAGGCCCCCAUGCUGUGUGAACCUGGUGAGAAAGGGAAGUCUGCUCUCACUGGACACUGGAACUGUUUGUCUCUGUCUCUGCUGUACUUUCCCUGCCUCUACCUCACUUAGUAAAGAAAUCAUCUUUGCUUGAUAACUAAAACAACCAAUAAGGCUGAGAAAGGGGAAAACCCACAUCUGGAUUUAAAUACAAGGUAUUGGGCCAGCUGCUGGGGAUUAAACUUUGAACAAAACAGAUAGAAUCUAUGUCCUCAUGGGAGUGGCUAAUGGGAGAGUCGGAACAAAAAAAUAGCCAAGGAUAAUCCAGCAAAUGAUUUGGUGAAUGCUAUCAAAGAGAGAAAUACACAUGCUCUGGGAACACCAAACAGAGUCUCCCUCUCUGACCCAGGCUGGAGUGCCGUGGUAUGAUCUCGGCUCACUGCAACUUCUGCCUCCCAGCUUCAAGCAAUUCUCCUGUCUUAGCUUCCCAAGUAGCUGGGAUUACAGGCGUGCACCACCACACCAGGCUAAUUUUGUAUUUUUAGUAGAGACGGGGUUUUGCCAUGUUGGCCAGGCUGGUCUCGAACCCCUGACCUCAGGUGAUCUGCCCACCUCAACCUCCCAAAGUGCUGGGAUUACAGGUGUGAGCCACUGCAUCUGGCCUCAUAUAUUUUACUAUAACAAAUCAGUGUAGGCCAAAUAAAGUUAGAAAUGGAAGCUAAUGGAAAUAAAGAAUAGGCUUUCCUGUUAGUAUCUAUAGGUGUGUGUGUGUGUGUUCGUUAUUUAGGGAAAGAAACAGGGAACUUGGGGCAUAUAAUAUUUAUGUUCCCUUAGCUUAGGCAUAUAUGGUAUAUUUAGUUACUUAAUUAAUUUUUUAUUUAGAAGUUAUGUAUAGAGCAUUUUUCCUAGGCCAGUGGGGGAUUAAACCAGAAAUAUAAGAAGUGUCUGCCUUCUGGAAGCUUGUGAUCUAGUUAGGGGUAUCACAAGUGCACAGCGUUCACCAGUGGCAGAGAAGCAUGUGAUGAGUACCCAGAGCUUAUAUUGAGAAUAAGGUAUACAAGAAUUUAGAGGAGGCCAAUGUUGAUUUUCACCAAGAGUAUGGGACAGAGAGACAAGACAGGGUUGGUCAUCUAGUUCUGUGCACUGAAUAUAAUUUUGCAGGUUUAGGAGUGUUUGAAAACUACAAGGAAGAUAGAAUCUUGGUCUUGUUCUCCAGCAUGCCCUUUCUUGAACUCACCAGGGUAAUGCUGCAUCUUUUCAGAAAUGCCUCUGGCUUCUCAAAGCAACUUUCAUCCUGGAGAGGAACAAUUAGUCUUUGUCUUUCAUUAGUAAAAGAUUUAACGGCUCAGAAGGAGAAGCUAGUGGUGACUUUUCAAUCACCCCUUCUACCUCCCAG
rnacentral:lncRNA from 10 species